rnacentral:lncRNA from 1 species
UGGAAACGUUCCAGACAAAGAGAUCAAGGCCUGUGCAGCAGUAGGGCGGAUGCAUGGGGAGGGAGCCCCAUGCCUGGAUGCAGGUGGCAGACUCUGGCACCAGACUUAUAGGAGCAGCUGGAGGCUGAAAAAAGUACGGCGUCUGGCACCCUGUGGCAGACCCCAAACAGAUGAGGAGAGAUCACCUUAAACCAACUGCCUACUCACCUGGGUUGCAGCCACCCUAAGCCCUGUACCCCUGGCACCAGCACAAGUUUAGGGGAGAGACCUUCACUUCUUGCUCUGCCUCUGUGGGAAAGAAUCACUCCGGGUUUCAGAGGUGUUUCUUGUGACCACGAGGACAAGCAUCAGCCGAGACAUUGGAGGCACCAGUGCUGCUCCGCUGGGCAGAGGCCCAUCCUUUCAUGGCUGGCAGGAAUGACAAAAGAAGUGAGGAGUCCUUCCCCUUGUGAACACCAGGAGGUGGCGGCUGCUGAGAGGAAAGCCCAUUCAUGAUACUGAACCUGCUUCAGUAACUGAUACACGGGAUACUGAACCUGCUUCCACUGCUGUUCCACCUUCAUGACGUCAGCCCUGGGUCUGCCACGUUCUUCACCAAUGAAGCACAUCCUUACCGUGGUCCAAUGAAGCACAUCCUUACUGUGGUCCUGGAGGGAAGAGGGGUGUCCUGGUGGGGUGGACUCCACUCAGGGCCCUGCCACACACCUGCACCCCAGGCAGUA